CCUACGGGUGGCAGCAGUGGGGAAUAUUGGGCAAUGGAGGCAACUCUGACCCAGCAACGCCGCGUGAGUGAUGAAGGUCUACGGAUUGUAAAACUCUUUAAGUGGGGACGAAGAAAGUGACUGUACCCACAGAAUAAGCCUCGGCUAACUACGUGCCAGCAGACGCGGUAAUACGUAGGAGGCAAGCUUUAUCCGGAAUGACUGGGCGUAAAGUGUGCGGAGGUGGUUUGGCAAGUUAGUAGCGUAAUUCCGGGGCCCAACUUCGGAACUACUAAUAAAACUGCUGGGCGUGAGUGAAGGAGGGGCAUAUGGAAUUCGUAGUGUAGCGGUGGAAUGCGUAGAUAUUAGGAGGAACACCAGUGGCGAAGGCGAUAUGCUGGACUGUAACUGACACUGAUGCACGAAAGCGUGGGGAGCAAACAGGAUUAGAUACCCCAGUAGUC
rnacentral:rRNA from 1 species